GAUGAACGCUGGCGGCGUGCCUAAUACAUGCAAGUCGAGCGAACGGACGAGAAGCUUGCUUUUCUGAUGUUAGCGGCGGACGGGUGAGUAACACGUGGAUAACCUACCUAUAAGACUGGGAUAACUUCGGGAAACCGGAGCUAAUACCGGAUAAUAUUUUGAACCGCAUGGUUCAAAAGUGAAAGACGGUCUUGCUGUCACUUAUAGAUGGAUCCGCGCUGCAUUAGCUAGUUGGUAAGGUAACGGCUUACCAAGGCAACGAUGCAUAGCCGACCUGAGAGGGUGAUCGGCCACACUGGAACUGAGACACGGUCCAGACCCCUACGGGAGGCAGCAGUAGGGAAUCUUCCGCAAUGGGCGAAAGCCUGACGGAGCAACGCCGCGUGAGUGAUGAAGGUCUUCGGAUCGUAAAACUCUGUUAUUAUGGAAGAACAUAUGUGUAAGUAACUGUGCACAUCUUGACGGUACCUAAUCAGAAAGCCACGGCUAACUACGUG
rnacentral:rRNA from 1 species